rnacentral:tRNA from 1 species
GGAAGCGUAUCGAAGUGGUUAUAACGGCCCUGACUCGAAAUCAGGUGUACCUCCGGGUACCGUGGGUUCGAAUCCCACCGCUUCCG